GACGAACGCUGGCGGCGUGCUUAACACAUGCAAGUCGAACGGAAAGGCCCUGCUUUUGUGGGGUACUCGAGUGGCGAACGGGUGAGUAACACGUGAGUAACCUGCCCUUGACUUUGGGAUAACUUCAGGAAACUGGGGCUAAUACCGGAUAGGAGCUCCUGCUGCAUGGUGGGGGUUGGAAAGUUUCGGCGGUUGGGGAUGGACUCGCGGCUUAUCAGCUUGUUGGUGGGGUAGUGGCUUACCAAGGCUUUGACGGGUAGCCGGCCUGAGAGGGUGACCGGCCACAUUGGGACUGAGAUACGGCCCAGACUCCUACGGGAGGCAGCAGUGGGGAAUAUUGCACAAUGGGCGGAAGCCUGAUGCAGCAACGCCGCGUGCGGGAUGACGGCCUUCGGGUUGUAAACCACUUUCGCCUGUGACGAAGCGUGAGUGACGGUAAUGGGUAAAGAAGCACCGGCUAACUACGUG
rnacentral:rRNA from 1 species